UACAGAGGGUGCAAGCGUUGUUCGGAAUCACUGGGCGUAAAGGGUGCGUAGGCGGUUUGGUAAGUCUGAUGUGAAAUCUAUGGGCUCAACUCAUAGUCUGCAUCGGAAACUGCCGGGCUUGAGUGUGGGAGAGGUGAGUGGAAUUCCUGGUGUAGCGGUGAAAUGCGUAGAUAUCAGGAGGAACACCUGUGGCGAAAGCGGCUCACUGGACCAUAACUGACGCUGAUGCACGAAAGCUAGGGGAGCAAACAGG
rnacentral:rRNA from 1 species